rnacentral:rRNA from 1 species
CUCCUACUCCCCUGUCGUCGCCUUCGCCUCCCGACGACGUCGGCCGCGUCGACCCGUGGCACGAGAGAACGCUGGCGGCGUGCUUAACACAUGCAAGUCGAACGGAAAGGCCCUGCUUUUGUGGGGUGCUCGAGUGGCGAACGGGUGAGUAACACGUGAGUAACCUGCCCUUGACUUUGGGAUAACUUCAGGAAACUGGGGCUAAUACCGGAUAGGAGCUCCUGCUGCAUGGUGGGGUUGGAAAGUUUCGGCGGUUGGGGAUGGACUCGCGGCUUAUCAGCUUGUUGGUGGGGUAGUGGCUUACCAAGGCUUUGACGGGUAGCCGGCCUGAGAGGGUGACCGGCCACAUUGGGACUGAGAUACGGCCCAGACUCCUACGGGAGGCAGCAGUGGGGAAUAUUGCACAAUGGGCGGAAGCCUGAUGCAGCAACGCCGCGUGCGGGAUGACGGCCUUCGGGUUGUAAACCGCUUUCGCCUGUGACGAAGCGUGAGUGACGGUAAUGGGUAAAGAAGCACCCGGCUAACCUACGUGCCAGCAGCCGUCGACGCGGCCG